GACGAACGCUGGCGGCGUGCUUAACACAUGCAAGUCGAACGGAAAGGCCCUGCUUUUGUGGGGUGCUCGAGUGGCGAACGGGUGAGUAACACGUGAGUAACCUGCCCUUGACUUUGGGAUAACUUCAGGAAACUGGGGCUAAUACCGGAUAGGAGCUCCUGCUGCAUGGUGGGGGUUGGAAAGUUUCGGCGGUUGGGGAUGGACUCGCGGCUUAUCAGCUUGUUGGUGGGGUAGUGGCUUACCAAGGCUUUGACGGGUAGCCGGCCUGAGAGGGUGACCGGCCACAUUGGGACCGAGAUACGGCCCAGACUCCUACGGGAGGCAGCAGUGGGGAAUAUUGCACAAUGGGCGGAAGCCUGAUGCAGCAACGACGCGUGCGGGAUGACGGCCUUCGGGUUGUAAACCGCUUUCGCCUGUGACGAAGCGUGAGUGACGGUAAUGGGUAAAGAAGCACCGGCUAACUACGUG
rnacentral:rRNA from 1 species